GGUGGUUAUAAACGUAGUAUUAAUAAAAAUAUCAACCUGAAGAAGGUGAUGUUCAGUGUUUUCUUUUCUCAGUCAGUAUGUAAGUGCAGAACUAACGCAAAAACUCUAGUCUGACGUCAUGAGACAUCAGACCGGCACGGGCCGGUCCUACUGGAAGAAGACCGGUAGGCCCGGUAACCUCAUAGCUAACUACGGCCAGUACGGCAGUUUAGAAGCU
rnacentral:lncRNA from 1 species